GCUAGAAGAGUCGUUGUUCUAGACAUUUCAUCAGAGAUUGGUUUGAUAAUAGAGCUGUCAUCUUAUUGGGUAAGAUCUUCUUGUAUCUUUAAUCAUUGGUAGUUUUCAUAGCAGCAACUCGUCUUUGCAAGUUUCUCAGAUGGAAAUAGAUGGGGGCCUCAAGUUUGUUUAAAAUGUCUGGGGCAACUCAAUUUUAUCUUCAUGCAAGCUGUUUUUGAAGCUCCGAUUUAGCAAACUUCAUACUCAAGUUUGAUUUCUUUUGCUAUCAACAUAUACCAAGAUUUCUUUUGUAUUUGGAGUUCAUGAGUUGGCAUGAAUGGAUGAAGAUGCCAACAUGGAAUUUAUUAAUCUAGCAUGCUGUCUUUAGAAAAUAUCAUGGGCAAAUGGGAAAAUGAACUCUUGUAAUGGCAGCAACUUAAAUCAGAAUGACAGGUGAUGAUGAACAUAGUAUCUGCUUUACGACUUAUGAAGAAUUUACCAAGACUUUUAAUGUGUGGUCAUUUUGAUGAAGAAAUUUCAUUUGCCUAUCUUAAUUUCUUUGGUUUCUGAUGUACAUGAAGUUAUAUGUGAUUUGCUGACCCUGACUCCUCAGAUGGUUGGUCAUCUUUUCUUUUUUCCCCUUAACACAUGUAAACUCCAGCAUUCAGGAUUGCAUACCUGUACACCAUCCAGAUGUUGCCCGUUCCAUUGAUGUUACCAUAAUGUGCAAAACUGGAUCAAGACCCAAGGAUUCUUGGUCGUUGGACGUAAAACCUUGACUGAGUUGAGGGAUAAGAUAUACUGUUUAAC
rnacentral:lncRNA from 1 species